UCUGUUUCUCUUGCUUAACUUAAUUUGAUCUGUGGAACAUUUUAACAGUGAAUAAAGUUAAGAAUGCCACUACUGUCAAUCUAUUAAAUCGUCAUACAAUUGCAAAUACUAAUUCUCGAGAUAGCCCGCAGUCGGACAUUACUGUCCUGGUUCCUGAUUUGGACAGAAUAGGUGUUCGCCGUCCGGCCUGGUACCCUGAUGAAUCAAAUACCAGCCCGAAGAAUUUGUUGGAUUUUUUCAACAAAGUGGGGUAAAACAAUGCUUCAGAAAGUCAGUUUAAAGCAGGUGAUUGUUAUGGCACCAGCUGCGCAUCGACGUCAGGUACCAAGGACAGUCCGGGGAAAACCAGCAAUCCAGAUACAUGUAACAUGGAUAAUGGAGCUGAUGAUGAAACUAACACCGAGGCUGAGGAAGUAGAAGAGGCCGGAUGCGGACAGUACACAGCCCAUGACGAGAAUGAUACCAAAUCAGAGCUGCCUGAUUUCUGGAAAGGCUACAUGGAUCUUGGUCCACCAACAAAACUCUAUCCUAAAUGUAAAGGCUGUCAUGUGGAAUGAGGAACGGAAUAACAAAGGUGCCUGGUUGUUUACAAGGAAAAGUAGCUUUAAUUUUGUUGAUCCUGGAAGUCAGCUGCGCAUGAUCACUCUGUGAUCAAACUUGAUGUGGAGCUCAUAGUUGAAUCCUCAGUAAUUAGUUUUUCUUAAAUAUUCGUAUUUUCAAACUGUUCGCAGUGGAUGUUAGUUCACUUAUUUGUGUCUUUCCAUUAUUUAUUCAAUGCUUUGGAUCAAUGUUUUUGUCAUAAUUGAUGGUUUUGCGCUUCGAUGAAGUAUUCUGUUUUUGGCUACUUAUGCGAUUUAAAAACAAUGAUGCACAUGCUUGAAAAUCAAAUGAUCCUCCUGGUUUAAAUAAAUAAG